ACGAACGCUGGCGGCGUGCUUAACACAUGCAAGUCGAACGGAAAGGCCCCUUUGGGGGUACUCGAGUGGCGAACGGGUGAGUAACACGUGAGUAACCUGCCCUUGACUUCGGGAUAACUUCAGGAAACUGGGGCUAAUACCGGAUAGGAAUCCUUGCUGCAUGGUGGGGGUUGGAAAGCUUCGGCGGUUUUGGAUGGACUCGCGGCUUAUCAGCUUGUUGGUGGGGUAGUGGCUUACCAAGGCUUUGACGGGUAGCCGGCCUGAGAGGGCGACCGGCCACAUUGGGACUGAGAUACGGCCCAGACUCCUACGGGAGGCAGCCGUGGGGAAUAUUGCACAAUGGGCGGAAGCCUGAUGCAGCAACGCCGCGUGCGGGAUGACGGCCUUCGGGUUGUAAACCGCUUUCAGCAGGGGCGAAGCUUGUGGUGACGGUACCUGCAGAAGAAGCACCGGCUAACUACGUG
rnacentral:rRNA from 1 species